rnacentral:rRNA from 1 species
AUUGAACGCUGGCGGCAGGCUUAACACAUGCAAGUCGAACGAGUGGCGGACGGGUGAGUAAUGUAUGGGAAACUGCCUGAUGGAGGGGGAUAACUACUGGAAACGGUAGCUAAUACCGCAUACUAUCAGAUGAGCCCAUAUGGGAUUAGCUGGUGGGUGGGGUAACGGCUCACCAAGGCGACGAUCCCUAGCUGGUCUGAGAGGAUGACCAGCCACACUGGGACUGAGACACGGUCCAGACUCCUACGGGAGGCAGCAGUGGGGAAUAUUGCACAAUGGGCGCAAGCCUGAUGCAGCCAUGCCGCGUGUAUGAAGAAGGCCUUCGGGUUGUAAAGUACUUUCAGCCGGGAGGCGUUACCCGCAGAAGAAGCACCGGCUAACUCCGUGCCAGCAGCCGCGGUAAUAC